rnacentral:rRNA from 1 species
AUUGAACGCUGGCGGCAUGCCUUACACAUGCAAGUCGAACGGCAGCACGGACUUCGGUCUGGUGGCGAGUGGCGAACGGGUGAGUAAUGUAUCGGAACGUACCUUUCAGUGGGGGAUAACGUAGCGAAAGUUACGCUAAUACCGCAUAUUCUGUGAGCAGGAAAGCAGGGGAUCGCAAGACCUUGCGCUGAUUGAGCGGCCGAUAUCAGAUUAGCUAGUUGGUGGGGUAAAGGCCUACCAAGGCGACGAUCUGUAGCGGGUCUGAGAGGAUGAUCCGCCACACUGGAACUGAGACACGGUCCAGACUCCUACGGGAGGCAGCAGUGGGGAAUUUUGGACAAUGGGGGCAACCCUGAUCCAGCCAUGCCGCGUGAGUGAAGAAGGCCUCGGUU